rnacentral:rRNA from 1 species
GCGGUUAAAUUACUGGAUAAUCCCCCAGUUUGAUAAAGGUGGCUUAAAAGAUGGAUAGCGAGUAGGUAAUGGAAGUAUGGGAAAACUUGGUAUGGGGUGUCCAAUCUUAAAUAUCGGCAGGAUCCUAUCGAGCGCGUGAACCAAUGUAACCGGGGCAGAGGACCGGGAUUAGAUACCCCGUUACUCCUGGUGUUAAGUAUAGCGAAUUCAGAAUUACAAUGUCUAAUUGCUUGCCUGGCAACUACGUCUCAAGAGGUAAAAGUCGAAGUACUUGGCGGUCUAGUGAUGAACCAGCCCGUGAGACUUGACGGUUAAUCCGAUGAUCCGCGCAAAUUCUACUCUUUCUUGAAUUCUCAGUUGGUGUAUGGCCGUCGAGUGCUUCUUUGAGGGAGUUGCAAGAUCCAUAUAGUUUUUUUUCUGCAGGUUCGUGCGGAAACUGUUUAUCUACAGGCUUGUAGUGGACGAGUGGAACAAGUCAGGUCGUCAUACCGCUCACGAAGGAGGCUUAGUUGAGUCACAUUGAUUAAAUCAAGCGGAACCGAGGAAGGAAGUAGCCCGGGGAAGAAGUAAUGGGUAGUAAUAAGAGAAUAAUUCGCUCUUAUGAAUCGUUGAACUCCUAGGUGUACAAAUCGCCCGUCGCCCCCAGAGCCUGAGAAUUCCGGGGUAAGUCGUA